CAGCCGCCGCGGGAAUACGAAGGGUGCAAGCGUUAAUCGGAAUUACUGGGCGUAAAGCGUGCGUAGGCGGUGAGUUAAGUCUGCUGUGAAAUCCCCGGGCUCAACCUGGGAACUGCAUCUGUGACUGCAUAGCUAGAGUACGGUAGAGGGGGAUGGAAUUCCGCGUGUAGCAGUGAAAUGCGUAGAUAUGCGGAGGAACACCGAUGGCGAAGGCAAUUCCCUGGACCUGUACUGACGCUCAUGCACGAAAGCGUGGGGAGCAAACAGGAUUAGAUACCCCAGUAGUCCCUGUCUCUUAUAC
rnacentral:rRNA from 1 species